rnacentral:rRNA from 1 species
GACGAACGCUGGCGGCGUGCUUAACACAUGCGAGUCGAACGGAAAGGCCCUGCUUUUGUGGGGUGCUCGAGUGGCGAACGGGUGAGUAACACGUGAGUAACCUGCCCUUGACUUUGGGAUAACUUCAGGAAACUGGGGCUAAUACCGGAUAGGAGCUCCUGCUGCAUGGUGGGGGUUGGAAAGUUUCGGCGGUUGGGGAUGGACUCGCGGCUUAUCAGCUUGUUGGUGGGGUAGUGGCUUACCAAGGCUUUGACGGGUAGCCGGCCUGAGAGGGUGACCGGGCACAUUGGGACUGAGGUACGGCCCAGACUCCUACGGGAGGCAGCAGUGGGGAAUAUUGCACAAUGGGCGGAAGCCUGAUGCAGCAACGCCGCGUGCGGGAUGACGGCCUUCGGGUUGUAAACCGCUUUCGCCUGUGACGAAGCGUGAGUGACGGUAAUGGGUAAAGAAGCACCGGCUAACUACGUG